rnacentral:rRNA from 1 species
UGGGGAAUAUUGGACAAUGGGCGAAAGCCUGAUCCAGCCAUGCCGCGUGUGUGAAGAAGGUCUUCGGAUUGUAAAGCACUUUAAGUUGGGAGGAAGGGCAGUUACCUAAUACGUGAUUGUUUUGACGUUACCGACAGAAUAAGCACCGGCUAACUCUGUGCCAGCAGCCGCGGUAAUACAGAGGGUGCAAGCGUUAAUCGGAAUUACUGGGCGUAAAGCGCGCGUAGGUGGUUUGUUAAGUUGGAUGUGAAAGCCCCGGGCUCAACCUGGGAACUGCAUUCAAAACUGACUGACUAGAGUAUGGUAGAGGGUGGUGGAAUUUCCUGUGUAGCGGUGAAAUGCGUAGAUAUAGGAAGGAACACCAGUGGCGAAGGCGACCACCUGGACUGAUACUGACACUGAGGUGCGAAAGCGUGGGGAGCAAACAGGAUUAGAUACCCCUGUAGUCCCUGAGCGGGCUGGCAAGGCGCAU